UGACAGUUAGACUUACAGGUUAUGUCGUUGUCUUUUGUUUGAAUUGUUUACGUGUCCGCUGUGCGGGGGAAAUGAUAAUACAAGCGGAACUACGUAGCUAAUACUGUUGUAACGGGGAUCCUUAUUGUAGCAACACACUUUUGGAGGGAAGGCAAUCUUGCGCUGCGUUAGCUAAGUUUUCAUGUCAUCGGUUGAAGAGUGUAUGUUAGGAUGAAGUGUGAAUUCAUGCCAGGAAUAAUAAGUGUGAAGUUUGAUUUCCUCCAUUCUGUAAUAAGCAGCCAAUGAAGUAUUUUUUCCUUUAUUCAUGCGUUUAAUCUGAACCCGUUAUAACGCCGGCUAAACUGUUAUGUAUGUAAGCACUUCAGAGUUAUACCAGGCUAAUAAGUCACUCGUAAGAUAAGGUUGUAAGAGUGUGCUUAACUGUAUUUUUCAUUUACUUUAUAGUUCUCACGGAAGGUGAUAAUUCUGACUAAAACUACAGAAUAAAGCCGCCAGUUAAAAUCAGGGAACGGUUGUGCUCGUGGUUACUGAAGGGAGCUACACUGUCCAGACGAGAUGUUACAACGAACUGAAUCGUCAAGUAGUAGACAAUGGACCUGAUCGGACAGCUCAGAGCCUCAGCUUCUUUUCUGUCCAUAAGAAACAAUUGGAUUGGUGGAAGAGGCAGGGCAGGCCAGGAGCAAGGAAGGAGGGUGUGGUCAAGCAAGGCUUUUUUUUGUAAUUGUAUUUUUUUUUUCUAGUCAAUGGAGGUCUUCCUCUUUAUAUAGCCUGCUACAGCAUGCAAUACUAUUAACUCACAAGGGGGCAUAACGUUACAUGGACAAUACUCUCCCAUUUUGUAAACGUUACAUGGACAAUACUAUCCCAUUUUGGAAACGUUACAUGGACGUCCCCUUGUGGAGGGAAAUUAAUAUCUUAGAUGGUAGCUGAAGAUGGGAUUCAAAUGCAUAAUGUUAUUAAUACAGUGUCUAGACUACCUCUUUUCUAUAAAUUCCCUUUAGAAUCCAAACACAGUAAAGCCACGCAGAAAAAUGUUGCGUAUAAUCUUUCAAGUCAGCCUGAUAAAAUAUUAAACAAUUUGUGUACAAAGAUAUCUUGAAACGUGAUGUUAGGCCUGUAUGGCAGUACUGUUACUGUAUUGGCUAGUGCUUUCUAUUUUGCAUUAAAUAUGUAAGUAUGUCGAUGCCAUUAAUCUUUCAAUAUUUAUUUAAUAUAUAUGUUUUAAUGCUUUAAGACUAUUCUUUGACACCUUUUCUCUUCCUUUGAAAUUCUUAUAGGACAGAACAUGGACACAAUGCAAUUGGGAUCAAGAAGAAGAUCUUCUCAAAAAUGAAUCAAGUCCAUGGAAUGGAUAUAGACAAAAAGAGAAUUCAAGGACUAUCAGAGAUAGAGAGGUGAGGCAGGGGUGAGGACAUCAUCCUGCUAUCUUGACAGUCCCUGAAGGACAAUACAGAAGGGGACUGGACACCACAGCAGCGAUUCUGCUCUUGCCCUACCUCUUCAAUGUGGACCCAAGUGGCCUUUAUGUCCGUGACAAGAUUUCACCGCUCUUCACUCCUUUACUGCACAUCGGCAGAAACCCAAAAUCCUGCUGACCUUUGAUGGGGAGAACAUCCAUGCCCUCGAGGACGUCCCCAUGGGACUUGGGGCUCUGCUAGGGCUGUAUUUUUUAAAUUUCCCCUAAAUUUCCCAAAAAUGUCAGAAAAACACUUAUGUUCUUAAGUGACUGUUCUGGGGAUAAGAGAAGUUGGGGUGAAGUUACCAGGGCCGGUCAUAAAGAUGGCUAACUUCCUAACAUAACUAAGUGGAUACAAUAUACACACUAAAGCUGAAAAAUCUGUAUUUAGCAUCAAGUCUACAAUAUUGUUAGUUUACCUAUGAUUCAUUUUUAAUGUAUGUUGUUUUUAUUGUACAUCAUUAUUUGUGUUUUUUUUUUUUGUGUCAUGAAAAGCACUAUACAAAGUAAAUGUUUUAUUUAUUAUGGUCUGACAUGUCUACAGAAAUGUUGUAAUUUUGUAAUGUGUUUUGUAAAUAUUAAUUCAUAUUUGUGGUGCCUGUAAAUAAACAAUGAAUUAUUUAAAUCAA